ACGAACGCUGGCGGCGUGCUUAACACAUGCAAGUCGAACGGAAAGGCCCUGCUUUUGUGGGGUGCUCGAGUGGCGAACGGGUGAGUAACACGUGAGUAACCUGCCCUUGACUUUGGGAUAACUUAAGGAAACUGGGGCUAAUACCGGAUAGGAGCUCCUGCUGCAUGGUGGGGGUUGGAAAGUUUCGGCGGUUGGGGAUGGACUCGCGGCUUAUCAGCUUGUUGGUGGGGUAGUGGCUUACCAAGGCUUUGACGGGUAGCCGGCCUGAGAGGGUGACCGGCCACAUUGGGACUGAGAUACGGCCCAGACUCCUACGGGAGGCAGCAGUGGGGAAUAUUGCACAAUGGGCGGAAGCCUGAUGCAGCAACGCCGCGUGCGGGAUGACGGCCUUCGGGUUGUAAACCGCUUUCGCCUGUGACGAAGCGUGAGUGACGGUAAUGGGUAAAGAAGCACCGGCUAACUACGUG
rnacentral:rRNA from 1 species